AAAGUCGUAACAAGGUCUCCGUUGGUGAACCAGCGGAGGGGAUCAUUACUGAGUCGUAAAAACUCCCAAACCCCAUGUGAACUUACCUAUGUUGCCUCGGCAGGACCUACCCCGGGGACCUACCCUGUAGCUACCUUGUAGCCUGCGGUGGACAUCUAAUCUCUUGUUUUGUAAGUAAAUGUCAAUUGCAAUGCAAGUCCUUGAUUUCUUAAAUUUAAAAGUUAAGCAAAUC
rnacentral:misc_RNA from 1 species